rnacentral:lncRNA from 1 species
ACCAGUGAUCAUUGAAGAGGCACGUCUUGCCAGUUUCCGGCUCACUGGACGAGCAGCUGGUUCCAGAAGGGUUUCCGGGACCCCAUCACGAUCCAGAAUGGCACGAUCUCCAGUAGAGGGGUGUGUAGAGAAGUAGACGGUGAGAAGUUUCUUAUUGAGAGCGAGUCCGAGUCCUGCUUCCGAUGUGUUGUCAUUCAUGAAAGACACCGAAACGUGCUUCAGUACAAAGAAACAUACUGCUCUUCAACUAACAAUCUAGAGGUAAAAGUGUCGGGAGAUAAGUGGAGAUGCCCCUCUUUAUUCCAUGUUUAGGCUGGACACAACCCCCAUACCUUGCCCUUUUAAGGAUUCUUUUACCUUCAGCUACAGCCGGGGUCACGGUGAAUGUCGUAAUCCAGUUUCUACAGUCGACUCUUGCACUGACGAAUCACAUCUCUUCUUUAAAUUCCAGGCAUGCGCAGAUGUGCGCAACUCAGAAAGCAGAGAAGAGAAAUUGACGUGUUUUGGGUUAUGGAAAGAAGGCUCCACGCGAUAUCUGAUCGCCAAGAUGGAACACAAAGAUACAAUCACGGACGAAGACAAGUUUCGCUGUUUUGUAAGUCCCUAUAUUAUGUUCCAUUAGAUCUGUGU